AGGGUUUGAUUAUGGCUCAGAUUGAACGCUGGCGGCAGGCCUAACACAUGCAAGUCGAGCGGUAGAGAGGUGCUUGCACCUCUUGAGAGCGGCGGACGGGUGAGUAAUGCCUAGGAAUCUGCCUGGUAGUGGGGGAUAACGCUCGGAAACGGACGCUAAUACCGCAUACGUCCUACGGGAGAAAGCAGGGGACCUUCGGGCCUUGCGCUAUCAGAUGAGCCUAGGUCGGAUUAGCUAGUUGGUGGGGUAAUGGCUCACCAAGGCGACGAUCCGUAACUGGUCUGAGAGGAUGAUCAGUCACACUGGAACUGAGACACGGUCCAGACUCCUACGGGAGGCAGCAGUGGGGAAUAUUGGACAAUGGGCGAAAGCCUGAUCCAGCCAUGCCGCGUGUGUGAAGAAGGUCUUCGGAUUGUAAAGCACUUUAAGUUGGGAGGAAGGGCAUUAACCUAAUACGUUAGUGUUUUGACGUUACCGACAGAAUAAGCACCGGCUAACUCUGUGCCAGCAGCCGCGGUAAUACAGAGGGUGCAAGCGUUAAUCGGAAUUACUGGGCGUAAAGCGCGCGUAGGUGGUUCGUUAAGUUGGAUGUGAAAUCCCCGGGCUCAACCUGGGAACUGCAUUCAAAACUGUCGAGCUAGAGUAUGGUAGAGGGUGGUGGAAUUUCCUGUGUAGCGGUGAAAUGCGUAGAUAUAGGAAGGAACACCAGUGGCGAAGGCGACCACCUGGACUGAUACUGACACUGAGGUGCGAAAGCGUGGGGAGCAAACAGGAUUAGAUACCCUGGUAGUCCACGCCGUAACGAUGUCAACUAGCCGUUGGGAGCCUUGAGCUCUUAGUGGCGCAGCUAACGCAUUAGUUGACCGCCUGGGGAGUACGGCCGCAAGGUUAAAACUCAAUGAAUUGACGGGGGCCCGCACAAGCGGUGGAGCAUGUGGUUUAAUUCG
rnacentral:rRNA from 1 species